AGCGAACGCUGGCGGUAGGCCUAACACAUGCAAGUCGAACGGCAGCACAGUAAGAGCUUGCUCUUACGGGUGGCGAGUGGCGGACGGGUGAGGAAUACAUCGGAAUCUACUUUUUCGUGGGGGAUCACGUAGGGAAACUUACGCUCAUAUCGCAUACGACCUACGGGUGAAAGCAGGGGAUCUUCGGACCUUGCGCGAUUGAAUGAGCCGAUGUCGGAUUAGCUAGUUGGCGGGGUACAGGCCCACCAAGGCGACGAUCCGUAGCUGGUCUGAGAGGAGGAUCGGCCGCAUGGGAACUGGGACACGGUCCAGGCGCCUGCGGGAGGCAGCAGUGGGGAAUAUGGGACAAUGGGCGCAAGCCUGAUCCAGCCAGACCGCGUGGGUGGAGGAGGCGUUCGGGUUGUAAAGCCGGUUUGUUGGGAGAGAAAAGCAGCAGGUUAAGACCCCGCGGUUCUGACGGUACCCAAAGAAGAAGCACCGGCUAACUUCGUG
rnacentral:rRNA from 1 species